GUCCACGCCGUAAACGAUGAGCACUAGGUGUCGGAGUCGCAAGGCUUCGGUGCCGCAGUUAACGCAUUAAGUGCUCCGCCUGGGGAGUACGCACGCAAGUGUAAAACUCAAAGGAAUUGACGGGGACCCGCACAAGCAGCGGAGCAUGUGGUUUAAUUCGAAGCAACGCGAAGAACCUUACCAGAGCUUGACAUCCCUUUGACCGGUCCGUAAUGGGACUUUCUCUUCGGAGCAAAGGUGACAGGUGGUGCAUGGUUGUCGU
rnacentral:rRNA from 1 species